rnacentral:tRNA from 3 species
GGAGGAGUACCCAAGUCUGGCUGAAGGGAGCGGUCUUGAAAACCGCCAGGGGGUUAACGCCCCGCGGGGGUUCGAAUCCCUCCUCCUCCGCCA